rnacentral:tRNA from 1 species
GCGCCUAUAGCUCAGGUUGGAUAGAGCAUCGGCCUUCUAAGCCGAGGGUUGCAGGUUCGAGUCCUGCUAGGCGCGCGA